AGGAUUGAUAUUUUAUUUAUUUUUAAUUUUAAUCUUGUUAUGAUUUGAAUUUUUGUCAAAAUAAUAAAAGUAAAAAUAAAAAAAUAUAAUUUUUAAUGCAUUAUAACCCGUGAAUCAAAUAAUAGUAACAAAAUACUAUCAACCGGUCACAUGAUGACUUACUCUCGUCCUCCAUUCUAAAUAAAAAAAAAAAAAAAAAGUUUUUGUCUCCAUCAAUCACGGUUUAUAUAUACAUGAAACUUUCCCUCAAUAAUUCUGCAACUUCCGUUUAAUAAAAUUAAAAUAAACUUUUAUGGCAAUCAUACCUACCGUCAUUCUUUCUUGAAUGCUUUUAUUCUGUUUUAAGAAGGGCAGAAUAACGAAAAGAAGGGGAGUUAUGAUUUUCAAACUAUUUAUUAUUGGAAAAACUUAUUUUAACAACACUUUUUUAACAACUUUUUUGACAACGCAUACGUGGCAGUUUGUGAUUAGUCUAUUUUAAAUAUUUUUUAAACAUAAAUUCAAAUAGACCAAUAAAAUGAUGACACGUGUCCCGUUGUAAAAAAAGUUGUUAAAAAGUGUUGUCAAGUAUCAUUGUCCUUUAUUAUUUUAUAAAAAGUUUCAUUGUCUCCCUCCCGUUGCGACAUAAACAAACACAAAGUUGAUGUUUUCGAUGAGUUUUGACAUACUAUACCAGAAAACUAGAAUUCAAAGUCAUUAUAUAAAAUUACAAUGACAUUUUUUCUAAAUAUACCUUUUAGAGAUAUGUGUAAUGUGAAAAGAGAACGCAAUUCUUCUGGUUUUAAAACUUAAAAAAAGGGUAUGUGGAUAUAUAUUAUAAAAAGAGACACGAUGUAAUGGUUUUAGAAAAAAAGAAUAGCAAAGAUAAUAUGUAAUUUUAAAAGAACAUAAUUUAAUUAGAAUAAAAUUUCAUAAUUAUUAGUGUAAUAUUUUGUUGUUAUGGUUGAAAGUGGGUGUUAGUUUAAUUCUUAAAUCGCGGAAUUAAAAAAGUUCUGUAAUGUCUUCACGCGACUGAAAAAAGAAAGGUUCUGCAUUAAUCUUUACGCGCAUUCUCUUCUUCUAACAGUUGAUGAACUCAUCCAUUUCUACCAUGGAAUUCACGUCUGCAUCAUCCAAACUCCAACGGAGGUACGAUGUGCUCAUCAACUUUACUGGAGACGACAUCUGCAAGAAAUUUGUUUCUCAUCUUGAUUCUGCCCUCUCCGCUGUUGGCUUCAACACUUUCCUUCACGAGGAGAACGCAGUGAAGGAAAUGCACAUCGAAGAAGCUGUUCUCGAUCUCUAUCAGGUAGCAAUUGUUGUCUUCACCAAAACCUUUGCUCAAUCUGCUUGGUGUCUUCAUCAACUUCAAGAAAUCAUUCGAUGGCACCAAACUUAUUCCCGACAUGUUCUGCCUAUAUAUUACGAAGUUGAGCCAUCUGAUGUACGUCUUCAAAAGGGUGAUUUUGGAAAAGCGUUCAAAGAAACUGCACACCAAACAUUCUCAGCACAACAACUGGAGCAUGGUAUGUUCCGGUGGAGCCAAGCACUCACAAAAGCAGCAAAUUUCUUUGGAUGGGAUGAGAGAAAUCACAGGUAAAUCACACACUCAAGCAUCUUUUAAAAUGUGAGAUUUAAUUUUUUUAACAGAUGACUUCUUCUAUAACUGUUAUUGAACUUGAAGGAGUGAUGCUGAACUAGUGGACAAAAUUUGUAAGAGCCUUCUUAAUUUACCAAUCUUGCCUGCUACUAAAUUUCCUGUUGGACUACGUUCCCGCGUGGAAAAUGUGAUUCGAAUUAUCAAAAGUAAAUCCACAGAAGUUUGUAUAAUAGAGAUAUGUGGACGCAAUCAAAUCCAAAAAGAUUUAUUCCUUGAUAUAUGCUGUUUCUUUGUUGGUAAGGGCAAAGCUUAUGCGACGAAAAUCCUAAAUGGCUGUGGGGUAGAUACUGAUAUUGGAAUAAGACUUCUUAUGGAGCGUAACCUAAUAAAAAUUAACAAGAACAACAAAUUAGGAAUGCACACUUUGCUACAAGAAAUGGGAACAACAAUUAUUCGUGAAAUUUCUGUAAAGGAACAUGGAAAGAACAGGCGUCUGUGGUUUGAUAAAGAAGAAAAACAUGUAAGAACAUUCUUUACAUGUGGUUUGAAACUUUUCUGAAAGUGUUUGCUUUCUCCUCCUGUGCAAUGAAUUUAUUUUUCUUUGCUCUUUUCAUCACAGGGGACAAAUGACAAUAAGUCGUUUCUUCCGAAACCGAAUGGAGUAAAACUGUCUGCUAAUUCUGAAUACCGUUCAGAGAAACUGAGAUGGAUGAUUUUGCAUGGGUUUCCGUCAGAAUACCUACAUUGCAAUUUUUAUGUGCAUGAUGCAAUAGCGAUUGAUUUAAAACACAGUCUUCUUCGACUCGUCUGGAAAAAACCCCAGGUUUUAAUUUCUUUCCAUUUUCUAUUAAAAGACAGAGCUUGACUAAAAUAAAAUAGUAACCUACUAUUGUUUUUUUUUUUCAUUUCUUAUCUAAUUUUUAUCAAAAAAAAAAAAAAAAAACUAUCUUGGUGUAGGUUUUAAGGUGGCUAAAAGUCCUUAAUCUUAGUCAUUCAAAGUAUUUAAGAAAAACUCCUGACUUUUCCGGACUACCAAGUCUUGAACAACUCAUUCUCAAAGAUUGUCCGAGAUUGCGCCAAGUACACCAAUCUAUCAUAUGUCUCUACAAUCUUUUACUGCUAAAUUUGAAGGACUGUACAAAUCUAAGCAAUCUCCCCACAGGAAUAUAUGAGUUGAAAUCUUUAAGAACUCUCAUUCUCUCUGGUUGUUCGAAGAUUGACUUAAUGGAAAAUGAUAUAGUGAAGAUGGAAUCCUUGAUAACUCUAAUUGCUGAGAACAAAGCUGUGAAAGAAGUGCCUUUUUCAAUUGUAAGCUCAAAAAGCAUUGGAUAUAUAUCCCUACAUGGACUUGAGAGAUUGCCACAAUCUUUUCUUUUCAAUCUUUCAGUCCUGGCUGAUGCCAACAAUGAAUGCCGUAUCUUAUAUUCAUUCGUUGUGCAUGAAAAUCAAUAAUUGUUGGGAUGAUAUUGCGCCAUUGCUUAGCAGCCUUUCAAUUCUUCGAAGUGUUUUGGUACAAUGUGACACCGAGUUUCAACUAUCUAAGCAAGUAAAAAAUAUUUUGGUCGAACAUUUUGCAAAUAUUACAGAAUCGGGAAUUUCAAACCAGCACUUGAGAUCUUCUUUUAUCGGUGUUGGAGCAUACCAUGAAUUCUUCAAAGCGGCCAACGAUAACAUAGUUGAGGUUCUUCUCUAGCUUUUACUUCGUUUAUCAUCUUCACCCUAAUUUUAGCUAUUCAUUGAGAGAACACAAAAAUACACCUAUUGAAGCAUCUAAUAGAAACUACAAUUCUAAACUUUUAGCACCAUACUCUCUUCUAUAGCCACACAACCUCGUUCAAAACUAUCUAGAGUUUAUUAUUCGACUAACUAAGUGAUUAUGCUUAUACUAUGAACUACGAAAUUGAUUUCCACUUACUUGGUUUAGUAGCUUCAUGAUUAUUUUAUUCCCAAUGGUGUUAGAAAUAUAAAUUGAAAGAGAUGAAAACAAAAAUACAUUCUAAAUCCGUAACGACACGAUGAUGAUAUAUACAAAAUAAAAUUAUUAACUAGAUCUGUGUAAAUUAAUUACCGCUGGUAAGUUUUCCUCACGUAUUUCAUUUUGUAAUUUUCAAUAACAAAUAAGGAUUGCAGAAGACAAUUUCAAUGGCCAAUCAGAUAAAUGCCUAAGCUUUAUAUCUCAUGGUACAGGUUUUGGCAAACAGUGAGUCUUCUGAUGUGUCUCUCGUAGCUAACAAUGAUCCUUAUUGGUUGGCCCAUACGGGUGAGGGUCAUUCUGUUUCUUUCAGUAUACCUCAAGAUCGUGACAUGAAGGGAAUGGCUUUGUGUAUUCUUUAUUUAUCAAACCCUUAUAAAAUCACGGCAAAUGAAUGUCUUAAAAGUGUCUUAAUUGUUAAUUACACAAAGUGUAGAUUCCAAAUACACAACCAUGGCACAGUAAUUUCCUUUAAAGAUGAAGAUUGGCAUGGCAUAAUGUCAAAUUUAGAAUAUGGAGAUAAGGUCGAGAUUUUUGUGAGUAUCGAUCCUGGAUUCGUGGUCAAGAACACAACUGUCUAUUUGAUCUGUGGUGAAUCAAAUAACAUGGAAAAAGAGCCUCCGCCAAAGAAACAUUCUCUAGUUAGAUUGAUAAAGAAUGUUGUAAGGUGACUUCUGCAAAGUCAUUUAUCUUGUUUGAUAACAUUGUGGUCAUUUUAGUUAUGGAAUUAAUCCUAGUGUCCUUCAUUACUAUUUAUCUUUUCCCAUAUUUUCUAUUUUCCUUUACGGCAUAGCUUAUGGUUAAGAAGUUCGUGUUUAUUUUACCUGUUUCUCUUUGCUGAUUGUGAUUCAUCGGCUUUACCUGAGUUAUGUUUUCUUGCUGUUACUUUUGUUCAUUAUUUUUCCUUUAAGCAAAUAAUAUUUCCUAAAGAAAUUCUUUUAAUUUGAUUAUGAAAUAAAAACAUCUAUUGAUCGAUAUUUUCACAUGUUUUGAGUUAUGAGAGUUGUCCAAACACCUCCCUGGACUAUCCAAGUUUUGCAUGCCCCUCUUCGUGCUAUCCGAGCUUUCCUUGCCCCACUCCUGGCUGUCCGAGCUUUCCUUGCUCAUCUCCAGGCUAUCCAAGCUUUUCUUGCCCAUCUUGACGUACUCAAUUGUUUAAUUAUCUUGUCUACAAUACUCAAUUGUCACAAUAGAGCUUAAUUUAAGUGACAUUUGCAAAUAUUAUGUCAAGUAUACCUGUGACAAAAGUUCACAAUUUAAUUAUUGUUACAUGAGAUUAAUAAUGUAAUAUUUAUAAAUUUUACGAAUAAAUAUUUGUAUCACUAAACUAUUUUGUUGCCCGUGUAAUAAUUAUUUGGAUGUGGGGGAAGUACGACUCUUUGGAAGGUCCAUACAAGGAAGAUAUUAGAUUCAAGUGAGCUUUUUUUUUCUUUUAUUUUAAGUGUUAGUAACUUGUAGAAAUUUGGCUACAAUUUAGUAUUGUAUAUGUAGGUUGUUAGGAUCUCGGCAAGCGUACUGAAUCGUAUCAAGUAAUAAAUCGGUAAGACCGGAUAUCGUAUCCUAAGAUACUCGUGUGACACUAAACAAUCUUAUAAUUACCUAACUGAUUUAGACUAAAUAAUGAUUCCAUUUAAUGUGAUUUCGGUGCAAUAAAAACAAACAUAGUUCACAAUUUGUAAAUUGGACUUUUUGGGGUUAAAACACUUGGAAAUGGAAUGAUUAAAGAUGAUAUGGAAUGGAAUUGUUAGAGAAUGAUUUUACCUACUACACUCUCAUGCAAAUGCACAUUACUUCUUCUUCAUUUGUUUGUCAUGUCAACCUACUAAGUUACUCAAACCCAAUCCCUUGGUAGAAAGAAUCUAGACUUACUCAUUAAACUCCAAUCCCUUGGAAAACCUAAGGAGUUCAUCCACAUUAAGAAAUGAGGUUUAAGACAACUAAAGGUGCAAGUUUUAUCCCUAGAUACAAUUUCCUUUAGGUGUUUAGUCUAAUUCAAGGUUCACACAAUAUUCCCCAACAUUAAGCAAACCAAAGAAUCAUGUUAUGGUUGAUUAAUCCACAACAAGCUUUAAGCAAAGGAAAUAAACACUAACAAUCAAUGAAAGAAGCUUGUAUUCAUUUAAAACAAGUGCAUUUACAAGAGAGUUUCAUAGUUACAUCAUUCCCCAACAAAAUCAACUUAGCUCUCUAUUGUCAUGGAGAGCUUGAGCUUACAAUGGAAGAAAAUGGAAGAGAUGGAGACCCAAGAAAGAUGAAUGGAGAGCUCCCACUGUCCAAAACUAGCUCCUAGAGGUCCAAAAUGGUGUUUUCAUGCUUCAAUUGCCAAGAAGAUGACACCCUCGUUGCGUGGAAUCUUUAAAUAGGUCUAGGGUGUCACAUCAGCAAGUGCGCACUCAGUCCCCCCUUCUGAGGCGCCUAGGCACGAGACUUGCGUGAAGAAUGACACCCAGCCCCCUUCUUGGGGUGCCCAGGUGCGGGAGUUGCGCACCAAAUGAGGCAUAACCCCCUUUUUGGGAUGCGCAAGCAUGAGAGCUGUCUUCGUAAGCCUUCUACUCAAUUGCUUUUGCAGCUUUUCCUGGGUUCCAACUUUUUAUGGUUUUGAUGCUCUUCCAAUGCACACAAUUUGCGUACAAAACUUGAGGGAAUUAGUGAUGAAAACCUCUAAGUGUAACAUAAACUAAACUUAUUCACAAAAUUAGAUAAAAGAGAGAAUUAAGCAAGUUUCAAACUUCAAGAGAGUUGACUUGGUAUAAAAAUGUACCAUAGAUAAUGGUAAGAAUUAAUGUUAUCAUAAGUUAAUGUAAUAUUUCGAUUGAAUAUAUAGUUUUAUGUUCAAAUAAAAGUAUUAAAUAUUAUUGGAUAAUUUAAUGGAUAAAAUGAAUUCCAUUUUGUUUGUUCAAUUAAAUUUUUCUAUUUCCAGACAAAUUAAUUGUAAAUUGAUUAAACGAGAUGAUAAGACAAGGAAAAUAUCAUUAAAAAAAAAAAAGACAACCUCUCUAUGAUGUACAUGACAUUGUUGGUCAUAGUAUGCUAAAUGUAAGCAUCUAUAAAUCUAAAAAAAAAAAACAAGUUUUUUCAUGACGUACAUGACAAUGUAUUUCAUAAUAGGUUAAUUGUGAAUACUACGUAUUAUGACAAGUGAACGAAUACCUGCCAUAAUACAUGGGAGAUGUUUUGAUAAGUAAAAAUAACUAUGUCAUAGAAGUCGAGAUAUUAUGACAGGUAAAUUGAAUUACGUUAUAGUUAAUUGAAUAUAUUAUGACUAAUAACUGAAAAAAUGUCAUAAUAAACGAAAUAUAAGCCUAAACCUAUUAUGAUGUAGUUUUUUAUAAUGUCAUAGAAUGCAUAAACAUUUUAUAACUGCCAGAACUAUGACACCAUAACACUUGUCAUUAUAUGUUCAUUUUACUUGACAUAAUAUGUUUUUUUACACGAGUAAAAGAACAAUAAAGACAAUAAUAAACACAAUUAAAAAAUCUUAAAAAACAUUGUGAAAACCUAAAAUUUAGUAUCAUUUUUGAAUAAGAAAAUAUAUACUUAUGUAAUGCGAAUAGAAAAAUCAUUGUUGAAGUAACAUUAAGGAGGACAUCGUUGAACACAUACAAGUAUUGCAAAAUGGCAUACUAAAGUAAAGUAAUAAAAGAACAUAAAUCAAGUUUAAAGAGUUUGGAAACCCUGAUAUGAAAAAAUGCAAUCUCUAAGGGUGAUAAAAGGUAAACAAGUUUGAAAUCUAAAAUCGAUUCUUAUCAACGUUAGUAUAUAUAUAUAUAUAUAUAUAUAUAUAUAUAUAUAUAUAUAUAUAUAUAUAUAUAUAUAUAUAUAUNNNNNNNNNNNNNNNNNNNNNNNNNNNNNNNNNNNNNNNNNNNNNNNNNNNNNNNNNNNNNNNNNNNNNNNNNNNNNNNNNNNNNNNNNNNNNNNNNNNNNNNNNNNNNNNNNNNNNNNNNNNNNNNNNNNNNNNNNNNNNNNNNNNNNNNNNNNNNNNNNNNNNNNNNNNNNNNNNNNNNNNNNNNNNNNNNNNNNNNNNNNNNNNNNNNNNNNNNNNNNNNNNNNNNNNNNNNNNNNNNNNNNNNNNNNNNNNNNNNNNNNNNNNNNNNNNNNNNNNNNNNNNNNNNNNNNNNNNNNNNNNNNNNNNNNNNNNNNNNNNNNNNNNNNNNNNNNNNNNNNNNNNNNNNNNNNNNNNNNNNNNNNNNNNNNNNNNNNNNNNNNNNNNNNNNNNNNNNNNNNNNNNNNNNNNNNNNNNNNNNNNNNNNNNNNNNNNNNNNNNNNNNNNNNNNNNNNNNNNNNNNNNNNNNNNNNNNNNNNNNNNNNNNNNNNNNNNNNNNNNNNNNNNNNNNNNNNNNNNNNNNNNNNNNNNNNNNNNNNNNNNNNNNNNNNNNNNNNNNNNNNNNNNNNNNNNNNNNNNNNNNNNNNNNNNNNNNNNNNNNNNNNNNNNNNNNNNNNNNNNNNNNNNNNNNNNNNNNNNNNNNNNNNNNNNNNNNNNNNNNNNNNNNNNNUAUAUAUAUAUAUAUAUAUAUAUAUAUAUAUAUAUAUAUAUAUGUAUAUAUAUAUAUGUAUAUGUAUAUAUGUAUAUGUAUAUAUGUAUGUAUGUAUAUAUAUAUAUGUAUAUAUGUAUAUAUAUGUGUAUAUAUGUAUAUAUGUAUAUGUGUCUGUGUGAAAUUCUAGUUUUGAUGGGUAAAUAUGAUACUUGCAAUAGUUUAAUAGGUUCUCUCCUAAAAUAUUAAUUCGGAGUCUUUUAUAUUAGAUGUCUUUUUGCCACAAUAAAUGUAGUAAAAAUGUUUAAAAAAUCUUAAACUGCAAUUUUCUGAGGCGUGUAGAUUCACUAUUCUUAAGAACUUAUCUACAGUGUAUUGCGCAAGUCUCCCAGGAUACAACAGGAAUUUCUCGAAAAUAUUCGAGGAUCACACAACUAGUAAGAAACUCUGAUAGAGUUUAUACCCAGGAUAACUUUUAAAGGAGGAAAAUAAGAAAGAAAAAUGAGAGAAGACUUAUUUGAGAUAUGUUUUGGAAUGGAGAAAGAGUUCUCUAUUUAUAGAGUUAGGGAAGAAUAAAAUCAAUAAAAGACAAUAAAAACAAUACAUAAUUUGACCAUUGCAGCACUUAAAAAUUUGACUUGUUGCUAAUUACUAAAAAUAUUAACUUUGCAAAAGUUUAUGGAUGUUGCACAAUUUUCAAUUGCAAUAAUAAUAUUUUACAACAAUCUCCCACUUAUUGCAAGAGAAAGUUAAGAGAAAAAUAAAAGAAACAUUUAUCCUGGGUCUCAUAGGAUGUAAUGCAUCAGAGAUGGUAUAGCAAGCUAUAUGAACCAGUCUUAGAUUGAGAUAUUUAACACACCGUGUAAAUGAUAUAGCAAGCUAUAUGAACCAAACACACUUGACGUGUGUUAGAGGUUUUUCAAUCACAAUACACCCCCACAAUUCUUGUUGUUAUCGUUGUGUUGCGCUUAUUAGGCCAUGCACGUGGUCGGUAUCCAUGAGUGCUUUAGAGAUCAUGUCAAGAUCUCAUGCAAGCGGCCCCACUCGACACUCAUAUAGGUGAUUUCAUCAAGUGUAUGCUGCAAAUCAUACACCACCCAUAAGAGAUAUGAAAAUCAUUAAAAACUUUGUUUAAACUAAAAUUCUUUCACCACAUAGAAUUUUAAUGACAAAGUUUAACCUCUCAAUAAUGCAGUCUCUAGCACUUUCACACACAUAAUAGGUUUAACCUGUAGCAACCCAAAGCCAAAAAGAAGGGAGAAGAGAGUGGUUAUCUGCGGCUUGAACCAGAGACCGAGAAGAGAAAAAGAACACAAAUCUCCUUGCACGAGAUGAAAGAAACAAAACGAAGGGAAAAAGAAUGGUUUCCCUAUAAGAAGACCAAAAAGGAAAAGAGGAAGGAGAAAUGUUAUAUCAUGUUUCUGACCUGCGACCUCCCUGGAACGGGGGAGAGAAAACUCUCCCUGUGGCGGAACAUAAAACCCAACAAGGUUUGUGCGUUAGGAAGGAGAAAAUCUCAAAUCAAUUUGGCAAACUUUUGAAAUUAGGAUUUUAAAAAAUAACUUAAGGCAAAAUCUGAUUUUGAAUUUUAAUUAGAAUACUCGAAGAGUUAUAAAAAGAUUUUCUACCCACAAUUAUAUCUCUCUCAAGGAAAGUAAAUUUCUUCCAGAUUUAAACACAAAUCUUUCAAUACUUAGAUUUAUGUGUCUUCCAUUUUAUUUAAACCACUAUUAUUGCAAUCUCACACAUUAAUUCCAUGUGGAAAAGGCAGAACUAUUAUUCAAAUGGUCUUAUAAUUAGAGUUUUAUGAAAAAAAAAACAACUACCAAAGCUACCAAAAUUCAAGAAUCCUUCAAACAAGAUACAAGCAUUUAAUCAUCGUUCAAGGCAUUCAAAAUUAAAUUAAUAUCUAUAAAUAUCAACAAUCAACAAAGGUGAAUUUUUCAUACUUCUAAGAAAAUUCGAAAAUACUGCUAAAUUAUAUAAACCCCUUUCUCGCUCCAUAAUUCUUCUUUCUUUCUCCAAAAUUGUAAAGAAACUAAAAAACAACCAGUGGCAUGCACUCACCGUAUCAAACCACUUUAUUAAACCAUUUUUCUUUCUAAAAAUUAAUUAGAAUCAAUUGUCUUUAAUGCUUUUCUUUUCCUGCAUAAUAUUUUAAGCAUAAUUGAUUACCUAGCAUAACAUUAUUAGGUUACGGCUACCAUAUUUACUCAUAGAAAAUGAUAUUUAGACAAUAUUUUUUUGACAACAUUUGAAUAUUGAUUACGUGUCAAUAUGUGAUUGGUCAUGAAUUACUCCAUAAUCAAUAAUAAUAAUCAUAAACACUAUUAUGGAGUAAUUUAAGACCAAUCAUAAAUUGACACAUAAUCAAUAUUCAAAUGUUGUAAAAAAAAAAUGUUGUCUAAAUAUCAUUAUCCUUUACUCAUAUAUCAAAACUAAUUUCCAUUUUAAAAUAUUCAUAUCUCUACAUUAAUUUCAUUGAUUACAUAUAUAAGUAAAAUAUCAUUAUCAUUCAAACAAAACACAAACAUUUACUAGAACACUCAAAAUUAAAAUAUCAAAUAAUAAAUAAACUUUUAAGAAUAUUCACAGUAGGUACACUUCACAUAUCUUUGACAGACUGAAAUUUAAGUCCUUAAGAUUGUAGUAAAAAUGCUUACAAAAUUUCAAGCUGCAAUUUCUUGAAACGUAUAGAUCCACUGUCCUUAAGAACUUAUCUGUGAUGUAUUGCGCAAGUUUCCCAAUAUAUAACAGGAACUUCUCGAAAAUAUUCGAGAAUCACAAAACUAGCAAGAAACUCUGAUAGAGUUUAUAGCCAGGAUAAUUUUUAGAGUAAUUCAAACAGAGGAUAGAAGUAUUCUAUUUAAAAGGCUUUCUUUUCCUUAUCUUUUUUAGAUAUCAUUUGCAUCUUCAUUCUCAAAUAAUUUUCCAAAUUUCAUAAAACAUUUUCUCUGGUCAUAUAAGUCAAAAUUAGAACCUUAAAUAAAAAUAAAUAAAUAGAUGAAAAAAUAAGAAAUAUGUAAAAGUGAAACGAUAAGUGUAUUAAAUUUAUGGCUUAGAUGGCCUCGAAAUUGAAUAAAUACCAAUAAACUGAAGAGAUAAUAAUAAAAUUAAUUGCGUUAAACAAUAUUAGACUGAUAACCACAAAAUCAAAUCUUAAUAAGCUAUUACGACAUAUAGAUCAUACUAACCUAACCUAAGUUAGAUCCAUUAAGAUAAAAAAUCCAUUAACAACUUACAAAAUAGAUUGACAUUUCUCAAAUAUAAAAUUAAUUAAUUGCACAUUUAUUAUUUUCACAAGCACACCGCGUGGUGUGGAAUUUUCUUCUUGUAGGGACACUCAUUAAGAUAUUUCAGCUAAAGAGUAAUGCUUGAAAGAAUAUUUAUAUGACCAAUUCAACAUGUCUAAAAACAGCAUUUUCAGAAGUACAGGGACGAAAACAUAAGAAUAGAAGUUCAGGAUCCAAAAUCAAUAUAACUUCUCACGUCUUUUAUGAGUUUAGACAUAAAAGACUCGUUUCUCAGUUUCAAAGUCAAGAGUGGAAAAAUAGGAGAUUGUAUAAACCAAAAAGAAAGUAACCUCAGAGAAAAAUGCUUCAUUUUAUUAUUCUUUUUUUAGCAAAAUUUAUGAAGACUCUUCAAUGGUGAUAUUUCAAUUCUUGGUCAGAUUUAUUCAAAAAAGCUAGAAAAUAAGAUGGGAAAAGAAAAUUUAAAGUCAAGAUAAUAACCAGUACUACACGUUAAAGUCAACAGAAUGACCGAUUCGACACGCUAGAGAAUGACCAACACUCUUUGAAGUUAUUAAACCACAACCAUUCAGUUAUAUAUGGUUCAUAAAUUAGUUCUAACCCAUUCCUUCUGAAAAAGUUUCUUUUUAGAAAAUCCCCUUAAGUGGAUUCAAAAAAAAAUAUCUCCCAAAACCUCCUCUCAAGUGGAAGUGGAAGGACCAAGGUUGAGAUAAGUUUGAUCCACAAAAAAUAAUAUUAUUUAUAUAUACAUAUAAAAUUAUAUAUUUUAGUAUGUAGUUUAAUAUGUUGUAAUUUUAUUAUAUUUAAAUCAGUAUUUUUAUGUCAUACUUAUCAUCAUGCUAUUAAAUGAAAUAUAUAAUAAUACUUUAUACUUUUUGAUCUUGUGAGUUUUUAUAUAUUAAAUGAAAUAUAUAGUUACAUUUUUAUAUCAUACUCAAUUAUAACAAUAUUUUUAUAUCAUACUCAUGUAUAACCAAUUUCAUAAAUUAAAUAACACUUCAUGUAUAUUUCUCAAACCACCAUGUGAAAUAUUUAUUGAUUUUAUUAAUACCUAACUUUUGAAAAAAAAAAAAAAACUCAAGUUAUCACUUCUAACAUAUUUUCUAGUAAAAUGUAGUCUUUGUAAAAAAUAAAAUUUUCAUGUUAAAUAAAUAAAAUGACUUUUGUAUGUCUUAAUUAGGUUUUAAUUUCUUUAAAAUAAAUAAACAUUUCAACUAAUAAUUCUUUUUGAGUAGGAAAAAAUACAAACUUAUCUAACAACGAAAACCUUAAACAAAUCCGCACCACACAACUGCACCACCGGAAGACCCUCAACCGCUUAUUCUAACGCUAGGAUACACACAAUAAGCCACCUUGAAGGGAUAAAAUAAGCACAUCAUCUACAAAUGAAACUUCCCACAUUACCUUCUGCCAUCAGAAAAAAAAUAACUCCAUUUAAAAUGUUUUCCACAUAUUGGUGUGUAACAGCGGCUGCUACAAAACAAGGUGUCCACUCAUAUUUACUAUAUUGGCUAUUAGCUUGACUUGUAGAGCAAGAGCUGCUUUUCCUAUUCCACCUUAUUUACUAACCUCUCUAUAAAUAAAUCUAUGAAAGAAUAAAGUACCAUCAUUAUAGAAUCUCCAUAAAUUGCUCACAAAAAGAUGAAGCCAUCUUCUCUUUGGUUACUUGCUUUUUGGUUUAUAUAUGUUCCCCUGUUUUUCAACUUUACAUGCAACUCCAAACACAAUGUUUUUGCUCUAGAAAAUGAGAUCGAUCAUAUGGCAUUAAUCAAAUUCAAAGAAUCAAUAUCGAGUGAUCCAAAUCGGAUCUUGCUUUCCUGGAAUACUUCUACUCACUUUUGUAAUUGGUAUGGAAUCACAUGCCAUCCCACACUUCCAAGGGUUACUGAGCUGAACUUGCAAGGGCACAAGUUGAAAGGGUACAUAUCUCCUCAAAUAGGUAAUCUCUCUUACAUCAGAAAAUUUGUACUUGGAAACAACAGUUUCUAUGGCAAUUUACCACUCGAAGUGGGAAGAUUGUCCCAACUACAGAAAUUCAAUGUUGAAAAUAACACAUUGGGAGGAGAAAUUCCUUUAAAUUUGACGCAUUGUACUCAACUCAAAAUUUUAAAUUUGUAUGGAAACAAUCUGAAAGGAAAAAUACCUAUUACAAUCGGAUUGCUCCGGAACAUUCAGUUUUUGNACUUUGGUCAAAAUCAGUUAACAGGAGAAAUUCCAUCUUCCAUUGGGAAUCUUUCUUCAAUAACAUAUCUAUCACUUACUUUUAACAAUUUAGAGGGAGAUAUUCCACCAGAAAUAUGUCAUCUCAAAAGCUUAACUAUUCUAGCUUUAGGUAUCAACAAACUGAGUGGAUCAAUUCCUUCCUGUCUUUAUAAUAUGUCAUCUCUUACUGGAAUCUCAGUCACUGAAAAUCAACUUAGUGGCUCUCUUCCACCCAACAUGUUCCACACCCUCCACAAUCUUCAGGGACUUACACUUUCUAACAAUCAAUUCUCAGGUCCAAUCCCACCUUCCAUUGCAAAUGCAUCCAGUCUUUCACUCCUUGAUCUCUCUAAGAACCAUUUUGUGGGAAGAAUUCCAGGUCUUGGAAAACUACAUGAACUUUAUUUCCUAAGCUUGGGUCAAAACAAUUUAGGUUACAAUUCAACUAAUGAUUUGGAGUUUUUAAAAUCAUUGGUAAAUUGUACUAAGUUGGAAAUAUUAGCUCUAUCUUACAAUAGUUUGGGAGGUCAAUUAUCAAAUUCUUUGGGAAAUUUGUCGACUCAACUAAGUCAACUAUAUCUCGGAUACAACGAGAUAUCUGGAGAAAUCCCUGAGGCAAUAGGAAAUUUAAUUGGCUUAACUCUCUUGACAAUCUACAAGAACCACUUUGAUGGUAUUAUCCCAACAACUUUUGGAAAGUUUAAAAUGCUUCGAGUGUUAGGAUUAGGGGGAAACAAGUUGUCAGGAAAUAUAGAACCCUUCAUUGGAAACUUGAGUCAAUUGUUUUAUUUGAAUCUACGAGAAAAUCGAUUUGAAGGGAGUAUUCCUCCAAGUAUAGGCAAUUGUCAACUGCUACAACAUUUUGAUCUUUCAGAGAACCAUCUAUCAGGAACCAUACCACUAGAGCUUUUUAAUCUUACCUCUCUAUUUGACAAUUUGGAUUUGUCAUAUAAUUCCUUGAGUGGUAGUAUACCAGAUGAAGUGGGAAAUAUAAACAACAUUGACUUUCUAGAUAUGUCAAACAAUAAUAUAUCUGGUCACAUUCCUCUUGGUGUUGGAAAAUGCAUAAUGUUAGAGUACCUCUAUUUGCAAGGGAAUUCUUUACAAGGAAUCAUACCAUCUUCUUUGGCAUCACUUAAAAGCAUUAUAUUUUUGGACCUGUCACAAAACCAUUUGUCNGGAUCAAUUCCAAAUUUCCUGCAAAACCUUUCUUUCNUACAAUAUUUGAAUGUAUCUUUUAAUAUNUUGGAAGGUGAGGUACCCACUGAAGGUGUCUUUCGGAAUGUAAGUGCAUUGGGGGUGAUUGGAAACAGUAAGCUUUGUGGAGGUAUUUCUGAAUUGCAUCUGCCACCAUGCCCUGUUAAAAUUAAGAAACAUGCAAAACACCACAAGUUCAGAUUGAUAGUGGUGACAUUAAGUGUAGUUGUUUCUCUCAUUGUACUAUUAUCUGCCUUAACUAUCUAUUGGUCGAGGAAAAAGGGAAAGAAACCUUCCCUUAAUUCAUCAACAAUUCACCAAUUGGCUAAAGUUUCCUACCAAAGCUUGUACAAUGGAACUGAUGGGUUCUCAACUACAAACUUGAUAGGGAGUGGGAAUUUCAGUUCUGUCUACAAAGGAACUCUUGAGCUCNAAGACAGAGUUGUNGCNGUAAAGGUUCUAAACCUGCAAAGAAAAGGAGCUCACAAGAGCUUCGUGGCAGAAUGUAAUGCACUAAAAAAUAUUAAGCAUCGAAAUCUUGUUCAGAUUUUGACAUGUUGUUCCAGCACAGAUUAUAAAGGUCAAGAAUUCAAAGCUUUGAUCUUUGAGUACAUGAGAAAUGGAAGCCUGGAGCAAUGGUUGCAUCCUACCACAACAAGUGUUGAGCACCCAAGAACAUUGAGCCUUAAACAAAGAUUAAGUAUAAUGAUUGACGUAGCUUCUGCAUUACAAUAUCUUCAUCAUGAAUGUGAGCAGUCGAUCAUUCAUUGUGAUUUAAAGCCAAGCAAUGUCCUUCUUGAUGAUGAAAUGAUUGCUCAUGUAAGUGAUUUUGGCAUAGCAAGACUUCUCUCAACAAUCCAAGGUAUUACCUCCAAACAAUCAAGUACACUUGCAAUAAAGGGGACUGUUGGCUAUGCUCCUCCAGGUAUUUUCUUCUGUUUUUCAAUCGUUAAGUUGCUUUGAAUUCUCAGAAUUUUGUGCUGUGAAUGUUAUAUCUUAGUAUUGUGUAUUGAUAGUUUUGUAUAAUGAUAGAGUAUGGAAUGGGUGCUGAAGUGUCAACUUCUGGCGACAUGUACAGCUUUGGAAUUCUUUUGCUGGAAAUGCUUACUGGGAGAAGACCUACAGAUGAAAUGUUUGAAGAUGGUCAAAAUAUUUGUAACUUUGUUGCAAUUUCAUUUCCCAGUAAACUUUUUCAAAUUUUGGAUCAGCGACUUAUUCCAAUUGAGGAAAAUGAUUGGAAUCUUAAUCCAAAUGUUGAAAAGUGCUUAGUUUCACUUUUUAAAAUUGGUCUUGCCUGUGCUGUGGAAUCACCAAAAGACAGAAUGGAUGUGGUUGAUGUCAGCAGGGAGCUUCAUCGAAUUCAAAAUGCCUUUUUUGGUGAGUUAUUUUUUUUUUUUUGAUUGCUUUAAUAAUUAUUGCACAAUUACAUCAAGUUUUCCUUUUUAAAAAUCAUAAAUUAGUAAAAUUGAGGAUUUAUAUGUCUUAUGUGUAUUUGGAUUUUUAUUAAAAAUACAAAAUGGAUGUUUACAUCAAUGUGUUCUAACCCAAAAUUGAACUUCUUAGGUCGAGGCUCUGUUUUGGGAAAUGAUCCUUCAAUCUUCUUAUUGAGUCAAGGUAUUGGUAAUUUUGAAGGUUGAGCAUAUCAUCAAAUGAAUAUCAGUUGCUAAUCAUGUUUUAGUACCGAAAUCACUUGGAAAAUGUGGGUUUAAAUCAAGUAAGUUUCCUUGUUAUCGGUAUAUACGUUUUUGUAGUCUUAAAUUUUAGUUUGUUAUAGGUUACUUUUUUAUUAUAUAAUGUAUAUCAUGUUGUUUUGUUAACUAAUAUUGUCCCUGAUUGAUAAUCCUUUUUUUUCCACCGGAUGUUGAAAAUCAUUAAAAAAAACACAGGAGAUUCACUACAAUAGUUUAUUAAGAAUAAUUUUAGUAAAACUUGUAAAACAAACAAUGAUCUUCAAAACUAAAUUUGGUUCAGAAGUUAAUUAAGUGUAGAAAAAAUAUUAAUUAAUACCUACCAUGUUUGUCACGGUUACCUUUAAUUGAAUGUUUAAAGUGAAAAUGAUAGAAUUUCUUUAAUAAUUAUACUAGUUUUAAACAUGCGUUUACUACGGGUUGAUGUUGGUUCGUGUGUUUAUUAAAAAUAAUUAGAAAUCGAGGAAAAAACAAUAAAUAUUUUUAAGUUUGUAAUUAAGUUUUGAAUAUGGAAUUAACCAUAAAAAUAAUUUAUAGGUUUAAAAGUCCAAUAAGUGUAGAAAAAUAUAAAUAGUAGCAUGUGCAAAGUAAAAAUGAUAUGCAAAAAUAUUUAGAGUUGACUCAUUAACAAUAUAAAUUAGUAUACCAUAUACUAAUGUAAGUUGUUAAACUUAUUUAAUUAAUAUAUUAACAAACUCAUUUAAUAUGUGUUAUUAGAUUGAUUUAAUUAGUAUAUGGAAGUUGAAAGGGGAGCAUGAUUAGUAAUAGGUUUUUGAUGAUAUUCCAAAAAGUGGAAGAAGAUAAAAAUACUUGACCUUAACUUAUUAUUGAAUCUGGUUAAAAUGCAUGUCAGGAGAUGCUUGCUGUCCAUUUUAAUUGAUUAUAUUAAAAUCAAAAUCGAUUAAAAAUAUGAGUAUCAUAUUUUUGUAUAUAAAUGGGUCUUGUCUUUAUUCUAUAAUAUGGGGAUGCAAUUCAGAACUUUAAUUUGUGAAGCAAGAAUGACUAGAAAACAUUUUUGACAAAGGACCUUCAUAAGUGAAAAUCAAAGAAAAGAAGCCUUCAAGUGUGUUUGGAUGUAGAUGAAUGGUGAAUUAGUCUGGUUUUUGGUUUGAAAUCUACACUUGAGGUGUUUUCUUUUCUUUGCAUUUGUUGUAAACUUGAUCAUUAUUGUAUAUAAUUUUUUUGAAGGCAAGGGUUAAGGGCAAUUGUGUGAAACAUCACCUUAAAGGAUGAUUCUUGAUUGCUAGAGGUUAAGGUUGCAUAGGCAAACUUGUAAUUUUGUAAUUUCUACAUCUUUAUAGUGUAUUUCCUUUCAAACUCAAGUUGUUUGGAAGAAGACUAAAUGCAACCUCAUUUAAGUCAAACCAAUAUAAAAUCUUGUGUGUAUCAUGCAUUUCUUUCUUUACAUGUUUUUACAUAUUGUAUUGAUUAAGAAAGUUCACUCAAAAGAGUAACAUACAUUGCAUUUUUUUUAAGAAGGUAGGUGUAAAAUUUUAAUCCAAUUCAACCCCUUCUUAGUUGAGAUCUAUUAGUUUUAACACUUUUAACAAUUGGAAUAAGAACUGAUUAAUAGGAUAUUAAUCAAUUAAAAAAAUCAUGUUAUGACCAAUAUAUCUCAAACAUUUGUUGAAGGGACAUCUAUAAAUAGAUCACCUUCCAUUUUGAAAAAUUAGAACGAAAAUUUGUCUAGAAUCAAUAGACAAAGGUGUAUGGGAUGUAAUAAAUGGACCUUCUCAACUCACAAAGAUUGAAAAAGGUAUGAUUGUACCCAAAAAAUUAUCUUAAUGGAAUCUUAAUGAAAACAAGAGAGCACACUUUGAUGUGAGAGCAAAAAAUAUUAUAUCUUUUACAUGAACCAUCGAUGAAUUCUAUAUAAUUUUUGUUUGUGAAUCAACUAAAGAAAUGUGGGACGUCUUGGAAGUGAGACAUGAAGGCACAAAUUUAAAUGAAUUUAAGAGAUCAAGAAAGAAUAGUCUUAUUCAAGAAUAUGAGAUUUUUAGAAUGGAGAAUGGAGAAAACAUCUAUGAUGUCCGGAAAAGAUUUAUCCACAUAGUAAAUCAUUUGUUGGCUCUUGAAAAGAUCUUUGAUGAGAAAAAACUAAAUAAAAAAAUCUUGAACAGUUCAAACAGAAAAUGGCAACCUAAAGUCACAGUCAUAUCUGAAUCUAGAUAUCUUACCACAAUGAACAUGGCUAAGUGAUUAAUGCAUAUUUAUGUCCUCAUUUAACCUUGAAUAUUGGAUUUUUAAUUGGUUUUUGUACUUUAAAAGAAUAUUUUAAUUAAGAUUUGUUAUAAUUAGGUUUAUUGAACAUCAGAUACAUAAACAUGAUAAAAAUAACAUUUUAGUUGCAUAAAUGUGUUAGUGAAACAACAUCUAAGUUAAGUUUAUUGAGGUGUGAAAAUAAAUUGGUUAAAAAUUGAUGACCCUUAAAGAUAAAUCUAAGAAUAGCAAAUAAUUGGCUUGAGAUUAGUGAAACCUUAAUCACCGUCCAAUCUCGUCACUAUCUUUAAUUAUCCUUUACCUUGAUUUUAGUGGAAUAACAUGUUUUCUUACUAAGGUCGGAUGUCCGUAUUGAUGGUCGUUUGCUCCUGCUCAAUCGUUCUGCCACGCUCAGUCGCUGCUUGACUGUUUCCUUUUCUCAUAGACUGUCCGACUUGCUCGGUGUGGAAUAAGUGUAUGACCCUUAGGCCAUACGGUAAUAUAUAUAUAUAUAUAUAUAUAUAUAUAUAUAUAUAUAUAUAUAUAUAUAUAUAUAUAUAUAUAUAUAUAUAUAUAUAUAUAUAUAUAUAUAUAUAUUAAAUGUGAAUUUUAUGAAAAAUGUAUAUGAUAAUAAUAUAUUCUUUGAGUCGGAAUUUUCUCUUAAACUUGUAGUAUUGUUUAUUUAGUGAGCUUUUAAAAUAAUUAAAUUGUAAUAUAUUAAAAAAUUAUUGAUAUAUUUCAAAAUAUUAAAAUGGUUUAAACCCUUUAAUUGUCCCUAUUUUUGGAGCGUUUUCCCAAUUUCAUCCCCUUCUUAUUAAAACUCCCAAUUGGGUCCUCAUAAGAGUUAAUUUCAAUCAAUUUAGCCCUUUCCGUUAAAAAAAAGUUAACACCGUGAAGUUUUGUACAGUGAGAUGGAUGAGGUGUUCAUUUAUGUAACGUGGCAUUUGUAGUGUUGAAACCUUGAUGAAACGUGGCAUUUAGAAAAAUUUAAUAAUUUAAAAUAAAUUUUUUCAAACCAGAAACCAAUUAGGUUUCUGCCUCUUCCACUUGAGCAAAGAGCACAGGAAAAGGGACCCUAGAGAGGCACCAACUUCCUCUCCAUGCAUACACAAAGUCGCCACUGAAACAACCUCUGCACACCGCGAGCCUAGGUGUCGCUAGUCACCGAUCGUCGCCACGGUCUCCGCCGGUGACCGCGCCAAUUUCUCCUUCCUUGUCUCUUCUCCGAACAACAGUUUCGACUGGCGCCGCCACACCUCAGUUUGGUCAGUCAAGGGUCAUUGUUGGUGGUGCUGCCUGCGUCGAAGCGUCACUGCCGCUUGUGGCGGACCAACCUUUGGCUUUGCUUCCUCGCUCCCCUCUGAAACUGAACCAAGUAAAGGUUGCACAGAGACAUUUUGUUCUUGUGGUUGGGUGUGAUGGUGAAUGUGUAUUAUUGCACAGAGACAGUUUAUAAAGGUUUCUGAAAAAGGAUUUAGGAUUUAAUAAAACUGAAUUUGGGAUUCAAUUUGGGAUUAAAGGUCUGCGAAGAUGAUGGCUCCGUCUCGGUGGUUGGAAGAUGAGCGAAAAUCGCAAUUUAGGGAUUUUGGUGUGUAGAGAUUUGGGGCUUUCUGUGUUUCAGAUUUUGCAAGUUGCAAGAAAGUGUUUCGUGAUAAAGGAGAUGAAGCAAGGAGCUUCGUUUCGCGGUGAUGCUCAUGGUGACACUGUGAUUUUGGAGUUUUUACACUACAAGUUUCGAGAUUUGACGGCCAUGGUUCUAACGAAACUCACGAUGGCUUUUCCUUCCGGUGGCGAGGUGGUGAAGGAGACGAGCAUCGCUAGCACUACGAAGGAGGUGAUGGAGCAGUAUGCCGCCACUAUUCACGUUUUUAACCACUUUUACAAAAAUGACAUGUCAUCUUCCCUCUUGUACAAAAAGUUAACUCCGUUAACUAGAUUUAACGGAAAGGACUAAAUUGAUUGAAAUUAGCUCUUAUGAAGACUUAAUUGGGAGUUUUAAUAAAAAUGAGAUGAAAUUGAGAAAACGCUCCAAAAAUAGGAACGAUUAAAGGGUUUAAACCUAUUAAAAUAAAAAGAUUUUGAAAAUCCAAUAAAAUGUAAGCAUAAUAAAAACGGAGUAAAAUCACUUCACAUCAUUUAAAGGAUCAUCAAUGAUUUUCCUUUUCUUAUCUUUUCUUUUCUUUUACAAAAUUGGUACCCAUCAAAUCAUGGGCAAAGAUGGAUCUUUCUGUAUUACGUAGAGGUGUGAAAACUGGUCGACAGUAAUAUGCCGAACAAAGCACAUGUUAAUUCCAUGGUUAUUGUUUCCUGCACUCCCAGAAUUAUUAACUGCACCCUCAUAACAUUAGGGAAAGACUUAACCAUCUUCUAUUAAUGUCCUACAUUAUAGUCAUUGUUACAGUCACAAUGCUGCAGAGGAAGAAGAAGGAAGAAAACACUACAAAACAAAAAAAAAAAAAAAAAAAAAAAAAAAAAUGAAAAAGAAAG
rnacentral:lncRNA from 1 species